UGCAGUCGAACGAUGAUCCCAGCUUGCUGGGGGAUUAGUGGCGAACGGGUGAGUAACACGUGAGUAACCUGCCCUUGACUCUGGGAUAAGCCUGGGAAACUGGGUCUAAUACCGGAUACGACCAUCUGGCGCAUGUCAUGGUGGUGGAAAGCUUUUGUGGUUUUGGAUGGACUCGCGGCCUAUCAGCUUGUUGGUGGGGUAAUGGCCUACCAAGGCGACGACGGGUAGCCGGCCUGAGAGGGUGACCGGCCACACUGGGACUGAGACACGGCCCAGACUCCUACGGGAGGCAGCAGUGGGGAAUAUUGCACAAUGGGCGCAAGCCUGAUGCAGCGACGCCGCGUGAGGGAUGACGGCCUUCGGGUUGUAAACCUCUUUCAGUAGGGAAGAAGCGAAAGUGACGGUACCUGCAGAAGAAGCGCCGGCUAACUACGUGCCAGCAGCCGCGGUAAUACGUAGGGCGCAAGCGUUAUCCGGAAUUAUUGGGCGUAAAGAGCUCGUAGGCGGUUUGUCGCGUCUGCUGUGAAAGACCGGGGCUCAACUCCGGUUCUGCAGUGGGUACGGGCAGACUAGAGUGCAGUAGGGGAGACUGGAAUUCCUGGUGUAGCGGUGAAAUGCGCAGAUAUCAGGAGGAACACCGAUGGCGAAGGCAGGUCUCUGGGCUGUAACUGACGCUGAGGAGCGAAAGCAUGGGGAGCGAACAGGAUUAGAUACCCUGGUAGUCCAUGCCGUAAACGUUGGGCACUAGGUGUGGGGGGACAUUCCACGUUUUCCGCGCCGUAGCUAACGCAUUAAGUGCCCCGCCUGGGGGAGUACGGGCCGCAAGGCUAAAACUCAAAGGAAUUGACGGGGGGCCCGCACAAGCGGCGGAGCAUGCGGAUUAAUUCGAUGCAACGCGAAGAACCUUACC
rnacentral:rRNA from 1 species